rnacentral:rRNA from 1 species
UACGUAGGGGGCUAGCGUUGUCCGGAAUCAUUGGGCGUAAAGAGCGUGUAGGCGGCCCGGUAAGUCCGCUGUGAAAGUCGGGGGCUCAACCCUCGAAUGCCGGUGGAUACUGGCGACCUAGAGUGCGGUAGAGGGGUGUGGAAUUCCCGGUGUAGCAGUGAAAUGCGUAGAUAUCGGGAGGAACAUCUGUGGCGAAGGCGACACCCUGGACCAGCACUGACACUGAGGCACGAAAGCGUGGGGAGCAAACAGG